rnacentral:rRNA from 1 species
UACGUAGGGGGCUAGCGUUGUCCGGAUUUAUUGGGCGUAAAGAGCGUGUAGGCGGCCAGGUAGGUCUGGUGUGAAAACUCGAGGCUUAACCUCGAGAUGUCAUCGGAAACCAUUUGGCUAGAGUCCGGAAGAGGAGAGUGGAAUUCCUGGUGUAGCGGUGAAAUGCGCAGAUAUCUGGAGGAACACCGGUGGCGAAGGCGGCGUCCUGGACCAACACUGACACUGAUGAGCGAAAGCCAGGGGAGCAAACGGG